rnacentral:rRNA from 1 species
AGAGCCUAAACCGUAUUCAUGUCAAGGAUGCAGCCGUUGUGGAUAUGGGGUAGCGGGAAAGAGAGAGAAAGAACUGCAAGCUAUUUCGCAGACGCAGGCAAAGGAACAAGAAAGAUCUGGAAAGGUCUACCGAAGAAGGUGAAAGUCCUGUAUUGGUAGUUUUCUUGCGCUGUAUCUCUUCUCCCAAGUAAUGUGGAACACGAGGAAUUCUGCAUGAAUCUGCG